rnacentral:lncRNA from 1 species
AACCACCUCCAUUUCUCCAUCUUUCGGCUAAUUUUCCAUCCAUUCUACAGAUCGCAGCACUGCAGAGCUAGAAUAAGGAUACCAGCCUGUCAACACUACUGUCAACAGCUUCUGACUGGAAGGUGAGGUUAGCGGAGAGGAUUACCAGGACUACCCUCCCCUACAUUCAGGAUAUUGCACCACAGUGAACGCUUAUCCCGGACCAGAAAUAUUCUAAAGGGUGCUACUCACCCCCACCAGGGACUAUUCUUCCCAUUAACUUCUGGGAAGAGGUAAACAGCAUUAAAUGCAGUACAGGUUCUGUAGAAGCUUUCUGCCACUGGCCAUCAGAAUGUUAAACUCUUAAAGGGUCACAAUGUAUUUAUUUAUGUUUAUUUUCUUAGUUUUUUUUUUUUUUACUUUAAAACUUAUAUGCACUAUUGUAAUUUGAACUCACUAUAUAUACUGCACUCAAUUUAUAUGUGCUCAACAUAACUGAGUACACCUCAUUUCGAAAAUGAAUAUUUUUUUAAUCAAUUUCUCAGUGAAUAUCAUUCAUAUUUUGGUGCAUUUGAACAAUCAGAUUUAUUUAAAUAAUAUUUUAGUAACAUCUUCAGAAAUAGAAAGAUAAUAAAUUUCAAUUCAUGCAAAAUAUUGGGGAAGAAAUUUGCAAAUUACAAAGUUUCAACUAAAUGUAUACAUUUUUCUGUUUCUCUUGAAUUUUGGGCAAAUAUCAUAAGUCAUUUUGUUCGAUUAUCUCCGGAUUUGGGUUUAGUAGUGACCAAUCCAAUGUAUGUGCACAAAUAUAAUACUGUGAAGCUUCCUAUACAAAAAUUUUCACUUAAAUGAGAGAUUUGUGAGAGGUUUUCUUAUAUAUGCUGUGCACUGUGGAGCCAAUGCUACAACAUUUGUUCGGAGUAUAUACAUGUGAAUGAUAAUAAAGUACUUGACUUGUUUUC